AUACGAAGGGGGCAAGCGUUGUUGGGAAUAACUGGGCGUAAAGCGCACGUAGGCGGAUUGAUCAGUUAGAGGUGAAAUCCCAGGGCUCAACCCUGGAACUGCCUUUAAUACUGUCAGUCUAGAGAUCGAGAGAGGUGAGUGGAAUUCCGAGUGUAGAGGUGAAAUUCGUGGAUAUUCGGAGGAACACCAGUGGCGAAGGCGGCUCACUGGCUCGAUACUGACGCUGAGGUGCGAAAGCGUGGGGAGCAAACAGGAUUAGAAACCCCAGUAGUCC
rnacentral:rRNA from 1 species